UGCAUCUGAAAUCAAGCAGGAUCACCCGCUGAACUUAAGCAUAUCAUUAAGCGGAGGAGAAGAAAUUAACUAAGAUUGCCUCAGUAACGGCGAGUGAAGCGGCAAGAGCCCAAACUGGAAAUCUCGUACCUACGGUGCGCGAAUUGUAAUCUAAAGAGUGCUUACUCACCGGGGAGUGGCGCAGAAGUUCCCUCGAACGGGACGCCAGAGAGGGUGACAGCCCCGUAUGUGGUGCCAUUCCCUAACGAGUGGGUGUUCAAAGAGUCGGGUUGUUUUGUACUACAGCCCUAAGUCGGAGAUAAACUUCUUCUAAGGCUAAAUAUAUAUGGGAAACCGAUAGCGAACAAGUACUGUGAAGGAAAGAUGAAAAGAACUUUGAAAAGAGAGUCAAAAGACUUGAAAUCGUUAAGAAGGAAGCGGUAGAAAUUUAUCCUUCUGCGGAGGUCGGUGGUCCUUGCCAAACCAUUGCUCGUGGGUAGUACUGAAUAAGGCUACCUUAGGUACUUGGGGAAGCGGAGCCUUGACCUCUGUAGUGCGGCAAAAUGAGGUCGUGUUUCCACAAAAGCUUCUUACAACCGGGUCCCUUCGGGGAUCAGUGUGGGUGUGCUGGUGGCAACACGGCCUGAGGAUGCAUUUGCGAUUUUGCCAAAAUGGUUUUUACCGACCCGUCUUGAAACACGGACCAAGGAGUCUAACAUAUAUGCGAGUGUGCUGGUGGAAAAACCAACACGCGUAAUGAAAGUAAGUGAUGCCAAGCUCCCUGCAGCAUCAACCAACCAUGAUCCUCCGGUGAAAGGUUUGAGUAUGAGCAUAUCUGUUAGGACCCGAAAGAUGGUGAACUAUGCCUGAGUAGGGUGAAGCCAGGGGAAACUCUGGUGGAGGCUCGUAGCGGUUCUGACGUGCAAAUCGAUCGUCAAACUUGGGUAUAGGGGCGAAAGACUAAUCGAACCAUCUAGUAGCUGGUUCCCUCCGAAGUUUCCCUCAGGAUAGCUGGGACAAUAACGCAGUUUUAUUAGGUAAAGCGAAUGAUUAGAGGUCUCGGGGGUAAUUUGCCCUCGACCUAUUCUCAAACUUUAAAUUGGUAAGAACCCUGGCCUUUCUUAAGUGAGGCACGGGGGAUCAAUGCGUGUCCUUAGUGGGCCAUUUUUGGUAAGCAGAACUGGCGAUGAGGGUUGCUCCUAACGUUGAGUUAAGGUGCCCAACUGCACGCUCAUCAGAUACUACAAAGGGUGUUGGUUCAUACAGACAGCAGGACGGUGGCCAUGGAAGUCGGAACCCGCUAAGGAGUGUGUAACAACUCACCUGCCGAAUGGACUAGCCCCGAAAAUGGAUGGCGCUCAGGCGUGCGACCGAUACUCGACCAUU
rnacentral:rRNA from 1 species